rnacentral:rRNA from 1 species
AUUGAACGCUGGCGGCACGCCUAACACAUGCAAGUCGAACGAGUGGCGGACGGGUGAGUAAUGUCUGGGAAACUGCCCGCUGUAGGGGGAUAACUACUGUAAACGGUAGCUAAUACCGCAUACCUUCGGAUGUGCCCAGAUGGGAUUAGCUAGUAGGUGGGGUACCGGUUCACCUACGCGAAGAUCCCUGGCUGGUCUUCGAGGAUGACCAGAAACACGGGACCUUGGACACGGUCCAGACUCCAACGGGAGGAAGCAGGGGGGAAUAGUGGACAAUGGGCGCAAGCCGGAUGCAGCCAGGCCGCGAGUAUGAAGAAGGCCUUCGGGUUGUAAAGUACUUUCAACGAGGAGGCGUUAGGCGCAGAAGGAGCACCGGCUAACUCCGUGACAGCAGCCGCGGUAAUUC